UACAGAGGUCUCAAGCGUUGUUCGGAUUCAUUGGGCGUAAAGGGUGCGUAGGUGGCGCGCUAAGUCAGGUGUGAAAUUUCGGAGCUUAACUCCGAAACUGCAUUUGAUACUGGCAUGCUUGAGGACUGGAGAGGAGACUGGAAUUCACGGUGUAGCAGUGAAAUGCGUAGAGAUCGUGAGGAACACCAGUGGCGAAGGCGGGUCUCUGGACAGUUCCUGACACUGAGGCACGAAGGCCAGGGGAGCAAACGGG
rnacentral:rRNA from 1 species